rnacentral:rRNA from 1 species
ACAGAGGUGGCGAGCGUUACUCGGAUUUAUUGGGUGUAAAGGGCAAGUAGGCGUCUUAACAAGUUGGGGGUGAAAUCCUGCAGCUCAACUGCAGAACUGCUCUCAAAACUGUUGAGAUUGAGACUGGGAGAGGAAAGCGGAAUUCUCGGUGUAAGGGUGAAAUCUGUAGAUAUCGGGAGGAACACCAGUGGCGAAGGCGGCUAUCUGGUCCAGACCUGACGCUGAAUUGCGAAAGCUAGGGGAGCAAACAG